CCGUCAGGCACGUGCCGACCGGGAUCACGCCGCGCGGCGUCGACGAACGGGUCACGUAACUAUCCUUGAACCAGAACAGCUUCCCCUGUUUCAAGACGAACCAGCGGCGCCGCCACGUCUUGAUGUAAUCGCCUUGUUUGGUCAGCCAGGUGGCGCGUUCAGGGUUGGACCAGAACUCGAUUCCGGUGUAGUCUUCCGGGCUCGGUUCUUGGCCCGUAGCCGCCCGCCACAGGCCCUCCAUUUUUUUACUUGGGCGGCGCGUGAGGUGGGUUUGUGUGGGCAGAGUUGAGGAAUUGGUCGGAAGUGAGACCGCGGAGGGAGAGAAAGGUUUUAUGUUUUUCUGUCCGGAAACAGAAACCGGUUUUUUGUUUGUUUAAUUUCGCAAACCGAGACGGCCGGUUGAUAUCAAACGCUGUUCUGUCCCGUUGUGACCGCGGUUCAAUUUGCUUAGGUGGCUUUGAAGCUGUGUACGUGGUAACAUGUGUGCUACUAGAAAGGUCGCAUGUUACAAGAACACUAAUCUACACUAAAUAAAUCGAAGGGGCUGUUUGAAUUCGAAAUACAGUAAGUUGAAGAUAAAGACUUUAACUACUAGAAUGAUUGAUUACUUUCACUCGUAAUCUAAAUCUUUUAUUUUCGUAAUGUAAAGUUUUGAAACACAUUAAUGCAUAAAUGAAUUUUAUUGUGAGUACAUGCGAAGAUAAAAGUAAAUGAGAGCAUUGAUCCCUUGCAACACAAUAGAAUGUUUGGUUCAUGAAAUUAACAGUUCUUUAAAGUUGGUAUAUGAGUUACCGACUACUAUUACAUUUUAGAGAUAUUUUUGUUCAUUUGUAACUGAAAUUUUUUAGGCAUGGAUGACGAAAACGUUAUAUAUUUGUUGAGUUCAAUGCCUAAUUAUUGAUGACACAUUGUGUGGCUUAGCUCAAUCUUCUCUUCCCUUAGAGUAGAACAUCCUCUACCCCGCUAAGGUAGAAUGUCAUUGAACGUGCUUAAUUUAAAAAAUUUUAUGUACAAGUUGGCAAUAAAACUGAUGUUCCGCAUUUUGUCAAGAGAAUUGUUAUUAGCACUCCAAAAUUAGCAUAAUACACUCCUCCUAAGUGUAAUUUUUUUACUAAUUAUAAAAAAUUUGGAGUGAAAAAUGAGAUCUUUAGAAUGCCAAUAACAAUUCUCUUUGUCAAAUUUAGAUAUCAAUUUCAUUGGACUUCUAAUUCAAAUACCAAAACAACAAUAUCAUCACAAUUCAAGACCAAUACUCCAUUUUUCUUUUAUAAAAGUGAAGAGUUUCAAUAUUAAUGCAUUAAGUCUCAUUCUCAUGGUUGUUGAACUUCUAGAAUUUUGGUUUUUUCUUUGUGGAAAUUCAGGGUGAAACGAAAGGGAUAUGUGAGGAAAAAGCUUCGAAGGAGAUAGUUGAAUUGAUGGUGAUUGGGAGAAGUAAUGCUGCAUUAGUGUAAUAGUAUUAGUAGAUUUGGCCAAACCUUUUCAUUUCAAGUUUCAUGUGUCUUCUAUGUUUGGGUGGAAUGAGUCCAAUGCAUAUUUCUUAAUUCUUUAAAUCUUUAUGUUUGUUACAUUCGUAGAAUACAGCUGAUACAUCUGUAGAAUAUUGUUGUUCGAUACCAUGUUCAUGACACAAGGUAGAGAAUGAUUGAUUCACAUAUUUAGUACCCUUGUCACUUUGGAAGACCAUAACGAUAGAAUAAAUAUGUUACAAACCAUGGCAACAAAGUAUUUAAAGUGAAGAAAAAAGUAAAAACCUCAUAGAUGGUGGAAGAAAGAGACAAAUGAUAAAGCUCAUCUUUACUGGAGGUCUGAAAAGUAACACGCUGGUAAGUAAGUCAUAAGUUUGAUAAAUGUGAGGAGCAAGGACAAAGAAGAUUAAAUUAUCUUGGGUGAAACGAGCAACAACAAAAAAAAAUACAAAGGCCGGGAAGAAAAAAGACAAUGCAAAGAUGAAAGUUAAGAAUCAAGAGAAAGAGGAAGGGUGCCGAUGUGGGUAAUGUACAUAGUAUUGCCUACCCAAAUAAACAUUAGAAGGAGAAGGACCCGCAUAGCGCUCCAUAGAGCAACCAAAGACGAUCGACUCGUCAUGGGUAAAUCGACUCGGCUAAAAGUCCGAACUACAAUCCUGACAAAUAAGGCAGUUUGGCAAAUGGGUAACACCUGCCAACGUGGGUCAGGCUGUUGUUCAAACUGGGUUACAGCAAAGGGUGCAGACCGAUCAGACCCACAGUACCUGUGCCGACCACCACCACUAGAAUUAAAUUAUUGACAAGUGAAAUCCAAAAAGUACCAAAAAAUGAUGUAAAGAUUUUUACUUUAUAAGAACGAGUGGUUCUCAUGUGUUGUAGAUUUGUAACGCGCUUUUAUUUCUACAUAAGUCAUUAGUAAGGAUAGUUUAUCGUGAUUUUCUGUUGUAAUUUGUUAUUGGACAAUUAUAAGACAGUUAGGAUAGUUAUAGGUCUGUUUUGAUGAGUAGUCAAAUGUAUAGCUAUCUGUAUAAAUAUCAAAUGUACUCUAAUUAUUUUCUAAUGAAAAACAUUUCUCAAUAUGGUAUAUUUUGCCUCUGUCUCACGACCGACUUCAAUCCUCUUCGAUCCUCUUCCUUCUUGCAUCUUUCCUCUCACGCUUCCAUUCUUCUUCUCUCUGUAACCCUAAUUUCUCAGCAAUGUCGUCUGCUUUUCCUCCAUCCUCUGAUUCCGCACCACCAGUUCAUCCCUCUUCGGUGACAAAUCUAUGUCCUAAUUCCUCUGGCACCGCCUCUACAACUUCAAUUACAAUUCAGAAUAUCGGCUUAAUGGUUCCGAUCAAACUCACUACCACCAACUAUCUCACAUGGAGUGCAUUGUUUGCUUCAAUUUUUCGAUGCUAUAUUCUUACCAGCAUUGUUGAUGGCUCUAUUGAAGCUCCACCUAAAGUCAUUAGAGAUUCAUCUGGUAAUCCGAUCUUGAAUCCUGAGUACAUUGCUUGGUUUGAGAAUGAUCAAAAUAUUCUCAUCUAGAUCAACUCAACUCUCUCUGAAUCGUUGAUUCCAUAUAAUGUUGGUGUAAAUUCAUCCCGAGAGCUAUGGUUUAAGCUUGAAUCGCGCAUUGCAGCGGCCUCUUAGUCUCACAUUCAUGACCUUCGAUCUCGCAUUCGCAACAUUUACAAAGGAGAAUCCACCGCUGUUGAUUAUCUUCAACAAAUUAAAGAGAUCUUUGAUGCUCUUACCAUAGCCGGAGCUCCGGUUGAGGACUCUGAACUGAUUCUGUUACACUCCAUGGCCUGCCAUCCGAGUAUGAUUCCUUUAUUGAUGCGAUUCAAUUCCGUCUCGGUUCUACAACAAUUGAUGAGCUUCAUGGCUUGCUUCUGAGCAAAGAAAUUCAACUUACCAAUCGCAAGAAAGCUACUACUUCCUCUGGUGUUUUUCAGGCUUUCAAUUUGAAUCUUGGAUCAUCAUCUAGAAUUUUACCUACACCGAUUUCCAAUUCUGGUUUUCACGUCUUUCUUGCUAAGAAUUCAUCUCAUUUCAAUCAGUAUCAAGGCCGUCCUCAAGAUCGAAAUCAAUUAAACCCUAGGUUUUCUCAGAAUAAGGGAGAUUUAUCUGGCUAUCGUGGCAACACUCAGCGUCCCGCUACAAUCAAAGGAAUAAUCGUGGAGGUCGCUCAGGUUCCAAUUUCUCUGGGAAAAGAACCACUUGUCAAAUAUGUCGCCAGUAUGAACAUGAAGCAUCUGAAUGCCCUCAUCGUAUGAAUCCUCAGUUUGGCAAUCGAAAUUCUUAGAUGACUAUGUGUGCUAAUCCUUCACAGAAUGCCUCUCCUUCAUGACUUAUUGAUUCAUGAGCUAGCUCACUAUGACAAGUUCUUUGGCGAAUCUCUAGUAUCCAGAACCCUACACAGGACCUGAGCAAGUCUACAUUGGUGAUGACAAAGGUUUGCCUAUCUCUAAUUCUGGUUCUUCAUACAUACAUACUCCUCAUCAUCGUUUUGCCUUGAAUAAUGUGUUACAUGUUCCUUAUUUAAAGCAAGAUUUACUCUCUGCAAAUCAAUUUACACUUGAUAAUGGGUGCUCAAUUCAUCUAUAUCAUUUUCACUUCACUAUGAAGAAUCUUACUUCUGAGAUUACGCUUUUUAAGGGACCUGUGCAAAAUGGUUUUUAUCCAUUCUCUACAUCUGUCAAUGCUAGUUCACAUAAGCUUUUUGCAGCAACUGUCAAAGCUUCCCCAGGGAUUUGGCAUCAAAGAUUGGGCCAUCCCUCUUUCAAAGUUUUACAUAAACUUGUUUCUCAGUCUAGUGUUCUUCUUACUACUAGUAUGAAUAAAACUUUUUGUCCUAAUUAUGCCUUGGGUAAAAGUUCAAAACUGCCAUUUGUAUCAGCUUCUAGUGUUACAACUAGACCAUUGGAACUUUUACACACAUAUUUUUGGGGUCCAGCUCCACUUCUCUCUGUAUCUGGUUAUAGGUAUUAUCUUUUUUAUAGUGGAUGAUUUCACUCGAUAUAGAUGGUUCUUUCCUAUCAAAUGUAAAUCUAAGGUAUUCAAACCCUUUGUUGAAUUCAAAGCUCUUGCUGAAUCUUUGUUAAAUACUAAGGUUGUUACUCUGCGAUCUGAUUUUGGAGGUGAACUUCUUAGUUCUGUGUUCACUCAAUAUCUUAAAGACAAUGGUAUUCAUCAUCAACUAUCUUGCCCUCACACACCUGAACAAAAUGGUUGUGUAGAGCGCAAACAUAGACAUAUAGUGGAAAUUACUCGAACGCUUUUAGCUGCUUCUAAUGUUCCUUAUAUUUACUGGGUUGAAGCAUUCUCCACAGCAGUUUAUCUUAUAAACAGAUUGCCUACCAUGGCCAGAUCCUGUCCUUGGGAACAACUCUUUAGCAAGUCUCUAGAUUAUACAACACUUAAAGUGUUUGGGUGAAUGUGUUUUCCUUGGUUAAAACCAUAUGCAGCUUCUAAAGUAGAACCUAAAAGUAAGCCGUGUGUCUUUCUUGGCUAUAGUCUCAAUCAUAAGGGCUAUAGAUGUCUUGACAUUCAAUCCAAAAAAGUCUAUAUCUCGAGGCAUGUCAUAUUUGAUGAACUGACCUUCCCAUUUCUUCAAAUCUCUCAGGUUUCACCUUCUUUAUCCUCAGCCCCUACUCAUUCUUCUCAAAUACCUUCAACCCUCACCUUCACCAAGCUCACUGCAGCACCUUACCCUUCUCCACCUAUCAACCAAAUUGUACCUUCCCUUAACCAAUCAUCUUCACCUCAACACACUACCUCUCCCAACUCCAUCUCUACUCAUUCCUCACCUAUACAACCACCCCUACCUCAAAACAUUUACCCUAUGCAAACAAGAUCUAAAUCAAGCAUUUUUAAACCUAAAGCCUAUUCAACCACUAAACACCCUAUUCCCUCUUAUAUUUCUCCAGAUUAUCUUCCUAGUACUUAUCUCCAAGCCUUAAAACACCCUCACUGGAGACAGGCCAUGCAGGAGGAAUUUAAUGCAUUGGUUAACACAAGAACUUGGUCUCUUGUUCCUUCUCACCCAUCUUAAAAUCUUGUUAGAUGUAAAUGGGUGUUCCGAAUUAAAAGAAAAGUUGAUGGCACUAUUGAUAUAUAUAAGGCUCGUUUAGUAGCCAAGGGUUUCCAUCAACAGGAAGGCUUAGACUACAGAGAAACUUUCAGUCCUGUGGCAAAACCAGUGACCAUAAGGCUUCCUCUCACACUUGCAUCUCAGUAUGAUUGGUUUCUUAAUCAGUUAGAUGUUAGUAAUGCCUUUUUGCAUGGAACUUUAUCUAAGAAUGUGUUUAUGCAGCAACCAUCCGGUUUUCAAGACCCUACUAAGCCUAAUCAUGUCUACAAGUUACACAAGAGUCUUUAUGGACUCAAGCAAGCUCCUAGAGCUUGGCAUGAAAGGCUUCAUGAUGUACUUAAAUCUAUGGGAUUCCAUGGCUCACAGAAUGAUCACUCUCUCUUUGUCAAGAAUGAUCAUUCUCUGGUGUUUAUCCUUGUCUAUGUUGAUGACAUCUUGGUCACAGGCCCAUCUUCACAAGCUUGCAAUGACACAAUAGCUCAACUGAGUGCUCUUUUUCCAAUCAAGGAUCUGGGUUCUCUUCAUUUUUUCCUUGGCAUUGAGGUCAAAAGGUCAUCUUCUGGUAUUUUUAUAUCACAAACCAAAUAUAUCCUUGACUUGCUUACUAAGACAAACAUGGCAGGUGCAAAACCAUGUGCUACACAUCUCAGUACAUCUAAACUGGAUCAUUCCUCUCCCAUGCUUUCUAAUCCAAAAGAGUACAUAUCCAUUGUAGAAGGUUUGCAAUACCUUACUUGGUCCAGACCAGAUAUUUCCUUUGCUGUUAACUUGGUCUGUCAGUUCAUGCAUCAACCAAGACAAUCUCAUUUGCAGGCAGUUAAAAGAAUAUUGAGAUAUUUGAAGGGCACACUUGAUCUAGGUCUCUGGUUUCCAAAAACUUCAAGUCCUCUCACUAUUAAUGCCUUCUCAAAUGCUGAUUGGGCAGGGUAUGCCUUGGACAGAAUAUCAACAAGAUGUUUUUGCAUUUUUUAGGGCAACUCUCUUAUUAGUUGGAGUGCUAAAAAGCAAACAACCUAGCUCGAUCAUCCACUGAAGCAAAGUAUCGAUCUCUAGCUAACAUUGCUGCUGAGAUUUCCUAGCUUUGCAAAUUACUUGUUGAUGUUAGUGCGUCUCUACCUUGUCUAAAUUGUGGUGUGAUAACAUUUAUGCGAUUUCCUUAGCCAAGAAUCCUUUAUUUCAUGCACAGACCAAACAUGUGGAGAUUGACUACCAUUAUAUAAGGGAAAAAGUUCUCCUCUAAUGUUGUCACUGAUCAGUUUGUGUGUUCACAUGAUCAAAUUGUAGAUAUCUGCACUAAAUCUAUAUCCAAGUCUUGUUUUCUGUUGCUCAGAGACAAACUAUCACUUCGGUUGCCUACGUUCAGUUUGAAGGGGCAUAUUAAGGAUAGUUUACCUUGAUUUUCUGUUGUAAUUUGUUAUUGGACAGUUAUAGGACAGUUAUAGGUCUGUUUUGAUGAGUUGUCAAAUGUAUAGCUCUCUGUAUAAAUACUAUAUGUACUCUAAUUAUUUUCCAAUGAAAAACAGUUCUCAAUAGUCAUCACCUUUUAAGUCUACGCGGUGAAGACCAGAUUCUUACGCGUCUUUGAUUAGUUGAAAUACAUUCUCUCAACUGUGUCACAAAAUUUCCAUUUUCAAAGAAGAGAUCGAUCAUGGCGCUGGCGGUGGUAGGUGGAGCCGCUCUUUCGGGUUUCUUCCAGCAAGUAUUUGUGAAGUUGGAUUUUCAGGAGGUCAAGAACUUCAUCAGAGGAAAGAAACUGACUGAUGGGUUGCUGAAGAAGUUGAGAAUCAAGUUGACGUCUGUCAGUGUUGUUUAUGAUGAUGCCGAGCAAAAGCAAUUACGUAACCCACAUGUGAAGCUGUGGAUGCACGAGCUUAAAAAGGCAGUCCUUGAUGCUGAAGACCUGAUCAAGAUAGAAGUGUUAAUCAGCUCAUUACCACGGGUCAACGCUUGUGAUAUAUUGCAAUCCAUCACGAGCAUUGUGCUUUUUUAGUAAUCUGGAUGUGAUAAAAAUCUUAGUUUCUACUACAGACUAUGCAUGUUGUCAAAUGUAAGAUAAACACAUAUUGUGUCCGUGGUAGAUUGAGAUCUAACACCACAUUCAGUACCACAUCGAGGGGAUGGAUUUGAUGGAUUAUCAGCUUCUUCAUCCACCUAGGAGCGAGCCCUUUUUCCGCGAAGAUGUUUUCCACAGUUUACGACAAGAUUAGAUUGUAUUGUUGCAUAAGAGUCUAAAAUUGCCACUCCAUCAUUGGUGCGUUUUAUUGAAGAAUCCGCUUUUAGUAUUUCCUCCGCAACGUUAAGCAGGAAGUGAUUUCUUCCAAACAAACUGUACAACUGCUCAACACUGGGGACAGAGUACACUUGAACAUUUCUCCUGUGAUCUCUUUAACCACUCUGAGAAGCAUCUGUUGCAGAAAUUAUGGAAGCAAGGAGCAAGGGUAACAACAUCACAGCAUAUGUUCAAGCAAAUGCAGGAUUUUGCAUGCUCGGCAUCCAUAGAAAUCUUUAACUGCUGCUGACAAUUUUCAGGACCACGCAAUACAUUGAACCUGUAGCUAAUAUCCUUCCUUAUUGGGACCUGAAGUAAUUUCACGCAACUGAUAACAAUAGUGUCUUCAGCUUGGAUUACAUUCCCGUCAACAACCAUUGCAUUUGAACUUUAAUUUUGUAUUGUGGCAGAUGAGUGGUCUGAAUUCCUUGUUAUCUUGCACCAUUUGCAUUUGCGGAUAGAAGAGAACAAGAUCUCUGAGCAAAGUACAAUCUCAUCUGAACUAAUCUGAACAUCCAGAUAUCUCGAGUCUGAUGGAACAAGCUUGGCCCAGAAUUCUUCACUGGGUUUUGUACCUGAGCUCUCUCCAACCUCUGCCAUCCCUUGAAUAUAUUCACAAAGGACUCAGGAACUUUAAUUUAGAUCUCAAAGAUACGUAAUCGCCCAUCGUUAUAUUCAUUAAAAAAGAAACAAAUACAAAUAUAUUCAACUAUUUAUGAGCAACAGCAAUUUUAAUUUUUAAUCAUUAUACAAAAUCUUUACCGCUAAUUAGAUAAUUCAUCCAAGUGUGAAAAGAAAACAGAUUUGCACUCAAACAAGACAGAUUCAUCAAAUAUGCUAUAUGAACGGCCCAACCAUUUCAACACUGAUAAACAGAUCAACUUCAUGUUUCAGACAUCCUACAACUACAUAAAUUGGAUCGUACAAAUUCCAACUAAACGUCAAAAGCUCUUAACUCAGAGCAUAACCACAUACUAGUAAAAUUCAUGGAAGAUAGUAAGUGCCAAUUAACAAGAGCAAAAAAAGGCUUGAGGAGAAGGGGUCCCCAGUAGAGGCAUCAGUUCUGGCCGGAAAUGAUACACACGGAACAAAUUAUGCAUAUGUAUUUCACAUUUACUUUAUGUUCAUAGUUUGAACCUCCGUUUAUGCAAUCUCACGCAAUUCUUACCGGAAAACAAGUAGAGAAACCUAUGAAAAAUUGAUAGGUUUCACUUGGGAAUUGUUUUAAAAACCCUAACAAGAAAACAUGAAAAGUUUGCGACUUUGGCCAAUAAACAAUCAAAGGGGAAAAUAAGUCGCAACUUUCACAGGAUUCUUACAUGAAGGAUUAUUUAUUGAGUUAUAUAUUAGUUUGGGAAUAACUGGCAGGUUUCAGUUUGGAAAACUGUAAACAAUAGCCAAAAUUUAACACCUAAUAAUGGAAAAUGAAAGAAAGUUUGCAACUUUAGCCAAAGUUGCAAACUUGACAGGUUUUAGUAUUAGUUUUAGCCCAAAGUGUGUCAACAAUUGACAGAUUUUACUUUUACUAGCGAAAUCUGUAACAAAUAGCCAAAAUUUAACCCCUGAUGAUGAAAAUGAAAAUAAUUUUUUUGCAACUUUAGUCAAAGUUUGAUCCUUUAACCCCUCCAAGUAGAAUUUGAACCAAUUCGAGCAAUAAUUAAACCCAUAAUUCUAGAGAAUGUCAUAGUGAACAAGAUUUACCAAAAUUUCCCGAAUUUAACACAAAUUUUCCAGGCAUAACAGGAAAUUAUAAAUACCAAUAAACAAGAAAAAAAUGAUGAGAAAAAAGAAAUACCUGUUGAGAGGAAAAGAAAGGAUGGAAGAUCAGAUGGGUCAGAGGCCGAAGAAGUUAUUUUCAAAGAAGAAGGAGAUGAUAAAACUUGUUCAGCAAACUGAGUACGGAAGAAUGCUCUCUGAUUAAUAAACAAACAAAAUUUAGAAUCAGAGAGAGAUGGAGGGAAGUGAAGAGUGAUGGGCUUGUUAAGACUGGGCCAGCCAAUGCUUUCUUGUAGUGGGCUGGCUAUAAGGUUUGCCCUUGACAAGUUUCGAGCUCUUCUACCUGCGUAUAUAGGUUGUGCGCACAGGCUGCAUAUGAUUUAGACUAAAAAAUCAGCGUUAUAUUAAAAUUGGACUCAAUACAUGGAGUGACUCGACUAACAUGAAUGACGACAUUAUAACCGGAUUCGAACAUUAUAUUAACAAAGUAAUUGUGACACAUGCGCACAACCCAUAUGCGCAGGGGAGAAAUUUUGGACAAGUUUCUACUUGCACUCAUGCUUUAGAAACAUUAUUAGCACUCUUUUUCUCAUUGUGCACUCUCCUAUUUAGUUGUGUUUUUAAAUUCUUUUUUAAUUCAUUCAAUCUGAAAUUCACAUAUAAACAAAGUAUGCAAUUGGAGAAGAAAAAAGUUUUGAAUGUACUUCCCCAAAGGUUUUUCCUAUCACACUAAAUUUCAUCAUCUUUCCUUAUGAACCGUUUAAGAAAAUUAUCAACCAAUAUUGUGCUGUACUGUGUAUUCUCUUCACUUCUUCUAAGUGAGAAGUUUUAAGGUUAACUAACUCUUUAAGUAAAAUAUUAUGUAUAAAAGACAAAAAUGAUCUUAGCCAGACGUCUGGCAAGAAGAUUUUAUGAGACAAAGAAAUCUGAUACGUUAAUCCAAUCUAACGACUGGAAAAAUAAAGAUGCUUCCAAAUUUUCCAACCCAAAAAUCUUCUUGCCUGACGUCUGGAUUAGUUCUGUAUUGUAACAACCCAUCCCUAAUUUUACGAUUUUAUUAUUUAAAUGAGAGAAUUGAUGAAAAUGCCUCUAGAGGUAAGGACUUUGACUUCGGUUAACCACCGUUUAGAGAGACAUAUGACUUAGUCUUUUGGCGUAUUGGCGUAGUACUCGACGAUACGAACGCGUAGGCAUAAGCGGAAUCAAAUUUGGAGCUACAAUGGAGAUUUUACAGACUAAGAGCAGUUACACCGUGUUGGAGGCCCCCUAGGGCUAUCCACUAUGCUAUCCAUCCAGUGAACAGUAACUUCCCUUAAUGAAUGUUGAGCAAAAAUUGUACAUAAUAUGUAAACAAAUAAUUCACUCGACACAAUUUCACCCUCGUUCAUUUUUCCGAAGACGGUUUUAUUAAUUCGAGUUCGACCCAUUCUAGGCUACGUGCCUAUUAAUUACAACCCUUCUUUUGGAAAGGAAUACCUUUUGAUUCUAAUUUGAAUAAAUCAUAACUUGAGGAUUUGGGUGUUUGUUUGAUUUUGUGACUGCACCUAGGUAGAAUCCUAGAUUGCCUACGUACCCUCAUUGAGAGAUUAAGUCACUCGUAGUUCCUUGGUAUUUGGUACUUGUUCGGAUUUGAUGCCUUUUUUGAUACUUGAUAUGGCUUCAUGCCUUUUGAUACUUGAUACGGCUUCGUGCCUUUGAGAUUUGUUGCGGCUUCGUGCCUUUUGAAAAUUUUUCUUCAGCUUCGUGCCAUUUUGGUAUUUGAUAGCAGGAGUGAAUUUAGUUUAUAUAAAUUAGGGAUUCGUUUCGGUUUCACGGUUGCAUCUAAAAUUUUGAUAUCAGACUGCCUACGUAUCCUUAACGGAAUCAAACCGGCGUAGUUCAUUCAUUAUGAAAUGACUUUGUGCUAUUUGAAGCGGCUUUGUGCCAUUUUGAUUUGGAUUUGGCUUUGUAGAAAUUUUGUAUCAAUUAUAUGCCAACUGAUACGAUGAACAAAUUUACUUUGGAGAUCAUAUCCAUUGACUUCACUUGGAAAAAUAUACCAAUUAAUUGUUAAUCAGUAUAAACCCCCUCUGAUUGGCAACUUUGCUUUAUGAGGUCAACUUGCUUCGUAUUUGAAAGCUUUGCUUCAGAUUUUUAUUCCGCAAGAGUUCUCUACCAAUUUCAUUAAUAGCUCCUUGGUGGCCAUAAUUUAGGCAAGGAGCAGUGGCUUGGCUUUCUUUUUUUUUGCUCUCCACGUGAGCAACCUUAGACUUUAUUCACUUUCUUUUCUUUGAAGACUUUGAACUUCACAAGUUUAAGUAGGACUCCCCAUGCAACUAAGAAAAGAAGACCACCUCCACAUUACUUUUGAUUUGACAAAAGCAACUUUUGUAUUUUAUUUUAUUUCUUUUGGCUGGAUCUCCUCUUCCUUUCAAGUUUUAAACUCAUUUUUUCUCUUCUGCACCUAUUUAAGGUUUUGUACCCAACUUCUUUCUUCUUCUACUUGAAGACUUCGAAUUUUCUAAGUCCAAAUAGGGCUUUCAAGUGGUGAUGUUUGGAGAGGAAAACCAUAUUUUUCCUUUUCAUUUGUUUUGAAUUUGCAUGGAAGACAACUGACCAUUUUUUUUAAGUGAACACAUGCAUGAUUUAGAAGACAAGUUUCUUCCUCUUCUUCUCUACUGCAGCUUUCCUUUGCAGACUUUGCAAUCUCCAUUUUUUCCUUAUCUUUUGAAUCUCUGACACAAAAGACUUUGGGUGGAACUCUUGAACAAUAAGUUUUCUUCCUUUCCCUUUUUCUGGAGUUUUUUUCCUUUACAAGUCAUCUUUUCCAUUUUCUUCUUAUCUUUCAAAUUCUUGACAUAAAGGACUUUGGGUGGAGCUCUUGAACAAUAAGUUUUAUUCCUUUCCCUUUUUUCUGGAGUUCUUUUCCUUUACAAACCAUCUUUUCCAUUUUCUUCUUAUCUUUCGAAUUCUUGACAUAAAGAACUUUGGGUGGAGCUAUUGAACAACAUGUUCCUUCCUUUCCCUUUUUCUGGUAGCAUCUGUCAAUUUACUAACUUUUCCUUUGCAAACCAUCUUUUCCUUUGUAAACCUUCUAGACCAUAAGUCUCAUAGGAAUCCACUCCUUGAAAUAGUACUUUGAAAGCAUGAAAGCUGGACCUUUUUUCAUUGUGGAAAAGACUUGUUUGACUUGUCUUUCUUUUGAGUUUUUGGACUACCCAGUGGAGGUAAUGGUGUCACCCGUUCUUUCUUCUUUCCUUUGCUUUUGGCUUGUAAAUUUUGUCUCCAUACUUUUGAUUAAACUUUGAACCAAUAUUUAACAGUGAGCAGUCUUGCCAACAUAUCACUUUCCUCCAGGUGGGAAAACGGUACACGACAGCUAUAUAUUUUGUAUAGAUUGCUUCCUUCCUGCCUUUUCCAUAGGGACCAAGCUUGGAACUUUGAAGAUGCACUUGCGGACCGACGAGCAUGGAUCACUUAUUGGAACUUCACGGGGUGGUUUAGACCAACCCGAAGAAAUUCAUGGGAUUAAACUGCAACGACACGGAGCGGAGCUCUUGGAUUUGAUCGAAACUUUACAGGGUGGUUUAGACCCCGAAGAAAUUCAUGGGAUUUAAACUGCAGCGGCACGGAGCGGAGCUCUUGGAUUUGAUCGAAAUUUCACAGGGUGGUUUAGACCCCGAAGAAAUUCAUGGGAUUAAACUGCAGCAGCGGAGAGCGGAAGUGGUGAUUCGUUGGCUUUGUUGGACUGCAACUCGAGAAUGCUGGGGAGUGGGAAAAGUUGAAGAAGCAAAGUGCUUCUUUUCUUCCUACAAAGCAGAAGAAGGAAACAACCCAAAAAAUUAAAUGAGAUGGUUUUAUACCUUCAAAUGUUGUGUAGCUUUUCCUGCCUUUUGUUCUUGCGUGUAGCUCUUGAUUUCUUCUUCUUCUUUUUUUUUCCUUUGUUGUGCCUUUGCUCUCUUGCUUUGCCUCUCUGUUGUCUUCUCUGUGCUUCUCAAUUUCUGCAGUGUCUCCUCUCUUAUUUCCGUUUCCCCUCAAUUUCCACUGCAACUGAUGCCUAUUUAUAGGCAUCAUAGGAAGCCUCUGGAGCCUUUACGUGGGAGAUAGAGGCCAUAUUUUUCGCCACCCUCUCCCACUGACUGUGUAACCUCCCACGUCUCUACAAAAAACCUUCCAUAUCUUGCAGAAAACUUUCCACGUUUUGCAGAAGAUGGGGAGUUUUGCUCCACGUUGUAGGAAGAAACAUGUGUUUUCUUUUCUCCCUUUUAUAUAUAAUAUAUAUAUAUUUUUUUUUUUUGUUCCUGUUUUCUUCUUUGUCAACUUGGAUUUCCAAGUUUAAGACUUCACGUGGGUGGUCCUCUUCUUUUUCCCCUUUUUCUAUUAUUAUUUUUUUAAUGCAUGUAUGGGAUCUGGAAGCAUUCAAAGCAUGCAUGGCACUUGGAUGCGGUGGGUUUUUUUUUUUCAACAAACAGUAACCGCCUUUUGCAUCUCCACCCCUACACUGAAUAGCCCUGACAAUUGGCAAUAAAAUAUUAAUAUUUUAUUUAUUUAUAAAAUAAUACAAAGAUAAUUAAAAAAUGACAAAGCAAAGAGCAGCAUUUGACUCUCUAUCUCUCUCUCUGUUGAAAUGAAGAUCACCAACACCCGCCACCACAAACACAAAGCUUAUCCUCCUCCACCCCCAAGCAAUCCACAAACCCACCACAAACGGCAGAAUCCACCGCAUGUGGCUCCUCUUCUUCUUCACCUUCUUCACCCUUACAUUCACCCUCACUCUCAUCAGCACCACCAUCCCUCAAACCCUCCCCACCUCCUCAUUCACCCCCACCUCCGUACUCCCCCUCCCACCCGCCGUCCUAGACGCACUUCUUCACUACGCCAUUUCAUCAUUAAAUACCUCGUCAGCACCCCACAUGUCCUAGUCGGAACUCACCUCCAUAUCCUCCUCCCUCACCCGCUUCUGAACCUGACAGAAAAAAAAAUUAAAAAAGGCGUCUGACGUCAGAACCACCUUAGGCGCUCGGGUCGGCAUGAAUCCACGGGCCUGGCGCUCGAGCUUGCUCGGGCCCCCUCGCCAGCCAACGCUAGACUUCCUCCCUCGGGCAAUCAGGCCCUGUGCUGAAGCCUGUCCAUCGAGCAAAAGCUCCCGCUAAAGCUGCUCUAACGAAUGUGAAAUGCGAUUUGGUAAUUUUAUGUUUAGAGAUACUUUGUAUUAUUUUGUGAGCCACGUGGGGCCCAUACCCUAUUUCUGCUCUGUCUCGUGUCCCCUCUUUGAGAAGUCUCGGAUCUCUCUCUUCUCUUUCCAUUUUUUUUUCUUCUUUCUUUUUCUUUCUUUUGCCAUCUUUUUCAUUUCACUCUCUCUCUAUUUCCCUCAUACUCUUUUAUUAGGGAGAAUGACAAGUCAUCUAAGUCUGCUACUGUUAAUAAUUCUGUUACUGUAAAUUAACUGAUUGUAUUAGUUGUGAUUAGUUAAGAUAGUUAUAAAGUAGUUAAGGGUAUCUAUGUAAAUAGCCAAAGGCUAUAUAUAUUCCUAGACAAUGUGUAAAGUUCUCAGUCAAGUAAAUACAAUCAAGAAAACUUACUGUUGAAGUUUUCUGUUUCUCAAUCAAUUGGACAUUAGUAAUGCCUUUCUUCAUGGAGACUUAAAGGAGGAUGUCUACAUGCAACAACCCCCUGGUUUUGUUGAUCCCUUACACCCUACAUAUGUGUGUAAGUUGAGGAAAUCGUUGUAUGGCCUCAAACAAGCUCCUCGAGCUUGGUUUGAUAAACUGUUCCAAGCUCUUCACUCUCUUGGAUUCACCCAAUCAUCCUCAGAUGCUUUUUUAUUUGUUCUCAAUGGUCCUCAGUUAGUCAUUGUCCUUGUCUAUGUUGAUGACAUUCUUGUCACCGGACCCUAUCCUCACCUCUGUCAACACUUCAUUCAGCAACUUGGGGCUCAAUUUCCAGUAAAAGACCUUGGUCUUCUUCAUUAUUUAUUGGGAUUAGAAGUACAUCGAUCUUCACAGGGUAUAUUUCUCCAUCAAACAAAGUAUUUAUUGGAUCUUCUCAAGAAAACAAAUAUGGAGGGUGCAAAACCUUGUUGCACUCCCCUUGGCUCUAAGAAAUUAGAUCACAGUGGCCAUUUUCUGUCCAAUCCUACUGAAUAUCGCUCCAUUGUUGGUGGUUUACAAUAUCUUACUUGGACUAGACCCGACCUUGCUUUUGUUGUGAACCAAAUCUGCCAAUUCAUGCAUGCUCCCAGGGAACAACAUCUCCAGGCAGCAAAAAGGGUUCUCAGAUUUCUCAAAGGCUCUAUCUCACAUGGUGUGUGGUUCACUAAAGGUUCUGUCCAUCUUUCUGCCUACUCGGAUGCCGACUGGGCUGGCUGCACAAUUGACAGGAGAUCAACCACUGGUUAUUGUGUAUUUUUGGGUUCCAAUCUUAUCAGCUGGAGUGCCAAGAAACAAAGUACUGUUGCAAGGUCCUCUACAGAGGCUGAAUAUCGCUCCUUAGCUCACACAGCUGCUGAGAUAACUUGGGUUUGCAAGAUUCUCAAAGAUCUGCACUAUCAUUUCUCUACAUUCCCUACUCUUUGGUGUGACAACAUAUCAACAAUAUCUUUAGCAUCUAAUCCUGUCUUUCAUGCUCGAACAAAGCAUGUUGAGAUCGAUUAUCACUAUAUUAAAGAAUUGGUUUUGGCUCAACUUCUCAAAGUCAAGUUCAUCUGCAGUGAAGACCAAUUAGCUGAUCUUCACACCAAGUCUCUGUCUAAAACCAGAUUUAAUUAUCUGUGUUCCAAGCUUCCCAUUGGCCUCAUUUCUGAUCCCCCUUCUCGCUUGAGGGGGUGUAUUAGGGAGAAUGACAAGUCAUCUAAGUCUGCUACUGUUAAUAAUUUUGUUACUGUAAAUUAACUGAUUGUAUUAGUUGUGAUUAGUUAAGAUAGUUAUAAAGUAGUUAGGGGUAUCUAUGUAAAUAGCCAAAGGCUAUAUAUAUUCCUAGGCAAUGUGUAAAGUUCUCAGUCAAGUAAAUACAAUCAAGAAAACUUACUGUUGAAGUUUUCUGUUUCUAUAUCUUUUCUCUUCUUGAUGAACCUCAUCAACCAUAACCACCACCACUUGCCGUCCCUCCGGUGAAUUUCACGAGGACCACCACUGACUGCUGUGACUUGUUCCCCUUUGUAACUCUCUUAACUUAUCUCGUCUAUCUCUCUCUGCAAGUGUAGAGAUGCCAAAACCAGUCACCCUCCACUCCUCCAACGAGCCACCUUACCAGACUACCACUACUCGAUCAACCACCAAACCCCAAUUGAGAUCGCAGCUCCCUGGGCGUGCACGGAUAGGUUAGGUCCGUUUCGAAAUUGAUUUUCUCCAGCGCGACUCCGUCAUCCUCAGCCUAGGUAAGCUUUGAGGACCAUCAUUUCUCUUCCUCUUAAUGGAAUGGUUUGAUUUCUAAGUUCCCAUGUGAAAAGUGAACGUGUUUUGAUGCAGGAAAUCUUGGGGGGGGGGGUUUUCCCCAAAUUUCUAGAGAUUUAAAACCAUAUGCCACUUGCAAGAUGUUUUUCCGGCCAUCUCAAACCGCAAUUUGUCCCCGUGAUGGUAUGAUCAUACUCUCCUCAUUACAAGCUUCACAUAUAUAGAUAGAACACUGAAAAUGGCUAGGUUUUUAGCUAGAAAUUAGCUCUGAAAAUUGGGGGAAAAACCUGAAAAAUCUGCAGAACUCGCAAGGAAGGCGAGUACAGUCGUACUCGCAGACGCAUGGGCGUGCAUGGACGCGUGAGGGUGGUCGGAGCGUGCGGCAACGCGUGGAGGAACCCGAGGUCCCGCCUUAGGUUUCUCGACGUGCCGAACCCGAAUCCGCUGUCCGUUUUCCAAAAUUCGAUCAUUUUAAAAUAGUUAUUUUAUUAACCAUACUUUGUACGCAAAAUAUGUUUAUACAUUAGUACGUUAAAUAUUUACGUUAAUGGUUUCGUUUCUAGGUGAAUCGCAAGGAUCUUCGAAACCCGCGAGGUGGGUUCGACCCUACGACAUGAUCUGUGAGUGGGUCUUUGCUUGAAAUAUUAUAUAUUUAUUUAGUUUCCAAUUAUAUAUUUAAUAACAAAUUUUCUACGUACGCCUAAAUUAUAUUAACGUUUAUAAGAAUUAGCGUAUUGACGAAAUUUACAAAAUUCUGUUAAAUCCUAUGGAAUGCACAGGUAUGCAUACUUUAUGGGAUUUUUAUUUACGGCCAUGAUUAAUAUUUAUUGACUAUUAUUAUGUCAACGCGAAUUAUCGAUUUACCAUUGCAUGACGACUAUAUUUACAAUAUUUGUUAAUCGUGUGUUAUACUGGUGUUUGUACUCGCUCGUGCCAGGGCCAUGCUUUACAUAUACGUUCACAUCGCACCGUACGCUCACUUUGGAUCCAUUGUAGGUGCCAGUCCUGUCCUAGAUUGCAAUAGGCAAUUAGAACUCGUAUGCGAUGUGUAUAACGCCAGUCUUCAUGUGAUUGUAGUACUAGAGCGUAAAUCAUUAUUACACCCAGUCAUGUUCAUGUCAGAAUAUCCUUGCAUGAACUCGUGUGUCAGCAUAUGUCAAUGAGCACUCAAUAUGAUAUGUUUAUUUCUACGAGAUUUGAUGAUUUCUAGAAGUUAUAUGCUUAUUUACGAAUUUUAAUAUCAUUUUAAGUUCUCAAGACGUUGCAGGCUACGGUAAGUAUUUUCAUACUAAACGUAAUAUGUAUAUUCGGAAACUAUACUUAUUUUACAGCGAGGGGUUAUUACAUUUUUAAAAGGUUUUACUAAACUUUAUUUUCAGGUCUACUCACCCUUGUUUUUCGCCCUUCCAGGUUCUAGUAGCUGAGCUUUCGUAUCGACGAGGAUUCUUGGCAAAUCUUAGUACUGAAGAUUACCUAUGAUUGUAUAAUUCUGAAUUCACUCUAUUGUACUUUACUUAUGCUCUAACAUCACGUGUGGAAUGGGUUCAUCAUGGUGCCAUGGAAGUCACUCUUGUGGAUAAGGGAUUAUAGAACUCGUUUGGAAGUGUUUUUAAAAUGACUAAAAACGUUUUUAGUGAAAAUGUUUUUGGUAUCAUGGUGUUCUAUUCUUAUACAAAACCAGUUGUUGAAGAAGUUCGAGGUCCUCCCAAUUUCAAAAUGGUAAUGAAAAGGUGAUUAAAUGACUCAACCGUCAUUGCAAACGUAUGUUAACUUUCAACCUCGAGGAAAUUUUUCAUACUUUCACAAUUACAACAUAAAGGUUGUUUGGUAUCUUUCUUGAAUCUAAUUUUUUUUUUUUUUUUUGAAACUAAUGAGUAUUUUGUAAUUUAGCUACAUUCAUUUUUUUUAAUUAUUAUAUUUAAAUCAAAAAAUUAGAUUCAACUCAAUAUUAACAAACAAACUCUUUAAACUUGGAUUUGGAUGAUUAAAGCUUAAAAUGAGGAUUAAAACCGUUUUGUUAAUGAGGAUUUUUAUGGAGUGAACGAAAUAACAUUUUCAUGGCGACUUUGAUCCAACACAGUUGAUUUCACGGCCUAUCUUCCUCUAAAUUCCCUAAACCAUACAAUCCUUGUGCAACCAACUUCGACCAGAUCCGCUCUGUUAGCACCUUUAUGAAGUUCACACAGUAACACAAAUCUUCUCAAAACUAGUGGUAUAAUUACAAACACGAAGACAACACGACUAAUAAGGUUGAUUCAACUCAAAGACAGAGAAUUUCCUUGUCUCAAGCACAGAAAUUCAAAAACCAUACCGACAAUCUUGAUGGAAAAAACACUUGUACACCAUCCAGUUUCAUGGAAAAUGCAACUCUAUUCAACUCCAAGAAUGCAAAUUCUACGAGCACGGAUAAAUGAACACAGCUAACACAGAAUCAAGACUCAAUUUUCACAAAUUACAACAUCAAAGUUUAAACCUUUUCACAAAAAAUCAUACGAAUUGCCCUCUCAAUCACACAAAAUGUCAUCUACAUUACGAAAAAAGCAACAGAGAAACAAAAUUCGGCCUACAUUGUGCAAAUUCGACAGCAAGAAAACAGUAGAAGCACCGAUUUAUCAAACAAAACAACUAUUACACCAAAUUUAAGGAAAAGAGAAGGAAAAAAAAAACACAAAUUAUAGUCAUACUAUUACUGUACCAUGAAAAUCGAGAGUUUGUGAUCACUGUCGGCUGCUAUCGUAAUCGACGACCUCAGAAUCCGCGAGCGAUCUGGAGUGCUGGACGAUGGACCGUCCGAUCGAGUUGAUCCACUCCUCCUUCUCUUUCUCCGAAUCGGCGAUGAAGUACAUCGUAUCAUGAUUAGUGGUGGAGAGCUCGAAGGCGCAGGGCUUGUGCACCACGUCCUCGGCGCCCUUCACCGUCAGGCACGUGCCGACCGGAAUCACGCCGCGCGGCGUCGACGAACGGGUAACGUAACUGUCCUUGAACCAGAACAGCUUCCCCUGUUUCAAGACGAACCAGCGGCGCCGCCACGUCUUGAUGUAAUCGCCUUGUUUGGUCAGCCAGGUGGCGCGUUCCGGGUUGGACCAGAACUCGAUUCCGGUGUAGUCUUCCGGACUCGGGUCUUGGCCCGUAGCCGCCCGCCACAGGCCCUCCAUUUUUUUUGCUUGGGCGGCGCGUGAGGUGGGUUUGUGUGGGAGGAGUUGAGGUUUUGGUCGGAGGUGAAACCGCGGAGGGAGAGAGAGGUUUUAUGUUUUUCUGACCGGAAACAGAAAUCGGUUUUUUGUUUGUUUAAUUUCGCAAACCGAGACGGCCGGUUGAU
rnacentral:lncRNA from 1 species